rnacentral:rRNA from 1 species
CGCCCGCCGCGCGCGGCGGGCGGGGCGGGGGCACGGGGGGCCUACGGGAGGCAGCAGUGGGGAAUAUUGGACAAUGGGCGAAAGCCUGAUCCAGCAAUGCCGCGUGGGUGAAGAAGGCCUUCGGGUUGUAAAGCCCUUUUGGCAGGAAAGAAAAGCUCGAGGCUAAUACCCUCGGGUGUUGACGUUACCUGCAGAAAAAGCACCGGCUAACUCCGUGCCAGCAGCCGCGGUAAU